AUUUUAGUUAAUGAAGAGGAAAUGGUAAAUUGGUCAGGUGACAUGUAUGUGAACAACGCGAGGACGAGGUGGUGAGGUACUUUAUACAAUUUAAUAUUGGCUUAUACAUUUAGAGCCAGAAUUCCUCUUAAAAAAAUACUCCAGGUAUACCUUGGAUAUGGGAAAUACGAGCAUCUAGGGAAUCGUUUACAGUAAGAGUUAACAUGAUCUUUCUGGUAACUGAUGAUGUUAUGCGAGAUAUUAUAAUGAAGCCUAGUCUUGUAGAUAUCCAGGAAAGGAAAGACUUAGAUUAACAUGUAGUACACAUAUAAGUUUACCCCCUGAGUCUGUAAUGACAUGGAAAAAGGAAGGAAUGUUUUUGGGUAGUAUGUCACAUACAACGCCAAAGGUUAUUCACAG